rnacentral:rRNA from 1 species
GACGAACCGUGCGAACGUUGUUCGGAAUCACUGGGCUUAAAGGGCGCGUAGGCGGGCCAUCAAGUCAGGGGUGAAAUCCUCCAGCUCAACUGGAGAACAGCUUUUGAUACUGGUGGCCUCGAGGGGGGUAGGGGCAUGUGGAACUUCCGGUGGAGCGGUGAAAUGCGUAGAUAUCGGAAGGAACGCCGGUGGCGAAAGCGACGUGCUGGACCCUUCUGACGCUAGGCGCGAAAGCCAGGGGAGCAAAGCGGG